rnacentral:tRNA from 1 species
GGGCGCUUAGCUCAGUUGGUUAGAGCAUCUCGUUUACACCGAGAGGGUCGGGGGUUCGAGUCCCUCAGCGCCCACCA